rnacentral:rRNA from 1 species
GGGGAAAGAUUUAUCGCCAAAGGAUUAGCCCGCGUUGGAUUAGGUAGUUGGUGGGGUAAUGGCCUACCAAGCCGACGAUCCAUAGCUGGUUUGAGAGGAUGAUCAGCCACACUGGGACUGAGACACGGCCCAGACUCCUACGGGAGGCAGCAGUGGGGAAUCUUAGACAAUGGGGGCAACCCUGAUCUAGCCAUGCCGCGUGAGUGAUGAAGGCCCUAGGGUUGUAAAGCUCUUUCAGCUGGGAAGAUAAUGACGGUACCAGCAGAAGAAGCCCCGGCUAACUCCGUGCCAGCAGCCGCGGUAAU